UGUUGUUUGUGUGCAGAACUGACUGUCAGUUCUCUAGCUUUAAGAAAAUUUCCUGUGUUUGAAAGCUGAGUGGUUUUAGUGCAUAUGAAGUGCUUUAAUAACUCUAGUCCUGCUAAAGCUUUGAACAGCUGAUGAUUUUUAUGUAUUUAAUUUAGAAGCUGGGGUUCCACAGUGAUGAGAAGGGAUCUUCCUCUUUACUGACUGCUCUGAAGAAAGCCAAGGGUGCAGCAGAUCCCAGCUACAGUGAGGAAACGAGGGAGUUUUCUUCAGCAGCUCCAUAACCUGAUGUGAGCAAAGGUUCUCUUGUGAGGGUUCCUACUCUUAUAGAGCAGGAAGAUGUUAUGCAUAUGUGGCAAAAGAGGGAGGAAGGGGGAAAUCUUUCCAAUCCCAGCUACUAAAAGGGAGAGUAUUUAAAUAUAGACAUUAGGUGCCCAACUACAUUUGGUUGCUAUUUCAGUUGUAUCUUACUGCAUCACCACACCAGGGAACUUCAGUGACUAAAACUGCAGUGCAUGUGAGAAGGUGGAUGUGGGUAGAGGUUCAGUUAAAUUGUUGCUCGCCUAACGUUUAUUGUGUGUCUUGUUGCACUGACAACUCCAGAGAGCUCCAGACCUGCCAAGUUUUCCUUAAUGAGAAUCUACUGCAGAAGCCUGGAGGAAAGAUCCAUACCCAAACAGCAGCAAUUAUUCCCUGAUGCUAUUAUACAGGUUUUGACUGCAGGAAGAGGUAGGACAGCUUGUGAAACAAACCUGUCAAAGUGAGUGUCCUACAGGAGAAGAGGGAGGAAUGUUUGCAGAAGAUGAAAAGGACCAGCUUGGUAAAGGCCAGCAAGGAGGGAGACCAGUACUUCACAUCACUGCUGCUGAACACAAAGAUCAUCAGCUCUGCAAACUUCAGCUCAAUGGUUUUAUGGGAAUUGAAGAGCAGGACAAAGAGGUAUUUCUCUGACAAUCAGUUACAGUUUAAUAAUUUAACGACUUGCAUAAAAUGAUUUGUGUACCUGAUGUUGAUAAGCACAGAGAGGUGCACUAAGACAUAGCUAGCAAGGAGAAUUUAUUUUACCAGAGAAAU